rnacentral:rRNA from 1 species
GACGAACGCUGGCGGCGUGCUUAACACAUGCAAGUCGAACGGAAAGGCCCUGCUUUUGUGGGGUGCUCGAGUGGCGAACGGGUGAGUAACACGUGAGUAACCUGCCCUUGACUUUGGGAUAACUUCAGGAAACUGGGGCUAAUACCGGAUAGGAGCUCCUGCUGCAUGGGGGGGGUUGGAAAGUUUCGGCGGUUGGGGAUGGACUCGCGGCUUAUCAGCUUGUUGGUGGGGUAGUGGCUUACCAAGGCUGUGACGGGUAGCCGGCCUGAGAGGGUGACCGGCGACAUUGGGACUGAGAUACGGCCCAGACUCCUACGGGAGGCAGCAGUGGGGAAUAUUGCACAAUGGGGGGAAGCCUGAGACAGCGACGCCGCGUGCGGGAUGACGGCUUUCGGGUUGUAAACCGCUUUCGCCUGUGACGAAGCGUGAGUGACGGUAAUGGGUAAAGAAGCACCGGCUAACUACGUG